GAGUGAGGGCCUUCGGGUCCGACCUCCACCCUUUGUGAAUCGACCGCGUUGCCUCGGGGCUCGAGCCUGGCUCGGGCCCCGGUGGCCCACUCAAACUCUGCUUCUUCAAGCGUCUGAGUAUACUCGAGAAAUCGAAACAAAACUUUCAACAACGGAUCUCUUGGUUCUGGCAUCGAUGAAGAACGCAGCGAAAUGCGAUAAGUAAUGUGAAUUGCAGAAUUCAGUGAAUCAUCGAAUCUUUGAACGCACAUUGCGCCCUGUGGUAUUCCGCAGGGCAUGCCUGUUCGAGCGUCAUUACACCACUCCAGCCUGGCUGGGUGUUGGGCGUCCGCGGUCCGCCGCGCGCCUCAAUGUCUCUCGGCCGCGCCGACCGUCUCCUAGCGUCGUGGCACACAUUCCGCUCCGGAGGCCGGCCGUCGCGUCGCCGUCGACCCAAACCUUUCUUCAGGUUGACCUCGGAUCAGGUAGGGAUACCCGCUGAACUUAAGCAUAUCAAUAAGCGGAGGAAAAGAAACCAACAGGGAUUGCCUCAGUAACGGCGAGUGAAGCGGCAACAGCUCAAAUUUGAAAUCUGGCGCAAGCCCGAAUUGUAAUUUGUAGAGGAUGCUUCUGGGCAGCGGCCGGUCUAAGUUCCUUGGAACAGGACGUCAUAGAGGGUGAGAAUCCCGUAUGCGACCGGUUGGCACCCGUCACGUAGCUCCUUCGACGAGUCGAGUUGUUUGGGAAUGCAGCUCUAAAUGGGAGGUAAAUUUCUUCUAAAGCUAAAUACCGGCCAGAGACCGAUAGCGCACAAGUAGAGUGAUCGAAAGAUGAAAAGCACUUUGGAAAGAGAGUUAAACAGCACGUGAAAUUGUUGAAAGGGAAGCGCAUGCAACCAGACUUGUCGGCGGUGUUCCGCCGGGCUUCUGCCCGGUCUACUCGCCGCCGGCAGGCCAGCAUCGCCUGGGGCCGCUGGAUAAAGGCAUCGGGAAUGUGGCUCCCCUCGGGGAGUGUUAUAGCCCGGCGCACAAUACAGCGCGUCCCGGACGAGGUCCGC
rnacentral:rRNA from 1 species